rnacentral:rRNA from 1 species
UACGGAGGGUGCAAGCGUUGUCCGGAAUCACUGGGCGUAAAGGGCGCGUAGGCGGCUCAUGAAGGCUGUGGUGAAAGUCCGGGGCUCAACCUCGGAUCGGCCGUGGCGACUCGUGGGCUGGAGCACUGUAGAGGCGGGUGGAAUUCCGGUGUAGCGGUGAAAUGCGUAGAUAUCGGAAGGAACAUCAGUGGCGAAAGCGGCUUCCUGGUCCAGCACCGACGUCAGGCACGAAAGCGUGGGGAGCAAACAGG